GACAGAGGGUGCGAACGUUGUUCGGAAUUACUGGGCGUAAAGCGCGUGUAGGCUGCUUCGCAAGUCGGGUGUGAAAGCCCUGGGCUCAACCUAGGAAGUGCACUCGAAACUGCGAAGCUUGAGUCCUGGAGAGGAAGGCGGAAUUCUCGGUGUAGAGGUGAAAUUCGUAGAUAUCGAGAGGAACACCGGUGGCGAAGGCGGCCUUCUGGACAGUGACUGACGCUGAGACGCGAAAGCGUGGGGAGCAAACAGG
rnacentral:rRNA from 1 species